rnacentral:misc_RNA from 1 species
AGUCCACCGAACGGCCGGCAGGCGAUCCGCGUCGUCGAGCGUGGUUUUAUGGUUCGCCAGAGGCUGGUUCUUGUGUUGCCUACCCCUUCAAGGGAAGAAGGCCGCUUGACUUUUAAGCCUCCAUCCGGCGCCCUCCAACGGGCGCAGGAGGACAACGUAGCNCCCCCCGCGUUCCACCGAGCCUUCANCGGUCGCGUGGCCCGUGGGGACGUGCGGUGCUCUCGGACCCAGNGCACGCCGUGGGCGAGGACUCACGUCCCAGUCCCAAGAGAAAGCCUCUACAUAACGUUGACGGCCGCUCCCGCCCCCCGACCGCCCCGGCGGCGCGGGGGCGAAGGCGCGGCGUCGCGGAGGAAUGCUACCU